CAAGAGAGACUAGCGUUUUCAUCUUUAUUAGGUUUAAAGGGUACCUAGACGGUUUAUCUAGCCUCACAAAGGAACGGAUUAAACUAGAGUUAAAUAUGGGAGGUAUAUUUAGUAUUGAAAGAGAAGGGAUGAAUUUUUAUACUUUCGAGACUGAUAAUGGUGAAAACAAUCCUCUAUGUAAUAACUGACGUUAAGGGACGAAGGCAUGGUUAGCGAAUAGGAUU
rnacentral:rRNA from 1 species